rnacentral:tRNA from 1 species
CCUUCGAUAGCUCAGUUGGUAGAGCGGUGGACUGUAGAACAUGAAAAUACGUUAAAGAGAAAUCCAUAGGUCACUGGUUCAAAUCCGGUUCGAAGGA